rnacentral:rRNA from 1 species
CACACCGCCCGUCACACCACGAAAGUUGAUUUCACCAGAAGUCGCUGUCUUAACCGUAAGGAGAGAGGCGCCCAAGGUGAGAUCGAUGAUUGGGGUG